rnacentral:rRNA from 1 species
GACGAACGCUGGCGGCGUGCUUAACACAUGCAAGUCGAGCGAUGAAAGCCUUAUGAACUAUUCGUAGUGAUUGGGGCCGGAUUAGCGGCGGACGGGUGAGUAACGCGUGAGCAACCUGCCUUAAACAACGGGAUAGCCUCGGGAAACCGGGAUUAAUACCGUAUGAGACCCCGCCUUCACAUGAAGAAGAGGUUAAAGAUUUAUCGGUUUAAGAUGGGCUCGCGUCUGAUUAGCUAGUUGGUGAGAUAAAAGCCCACCAAGGCAACGAUCAGUAACCGGCUUGAGAGAGUGAACGGUCACAUUGGAACUGAGACACGGUCCAAACUCCUACGGGAGGCAGCAGUGGGGAACAUUGCACAAUGGGGGAAACCCUGAUGCAGCGACGCCGCGUGAGCGAUGAAGGAAUUCGUUUCGUAAAGCUCUGUCCAAGGGGAAGAUAAUGACAGUACCCUUGGAGGAAGCCCCGGCUAAAUACGUGCCAGCCGCCGCAGUAA